AUUUUUAGCUGGAAGGGGAGGUACCAUGAUCAUGCAAAUGGUUUUCCCAGGGUGAGGUUUAUGCAUUGCACUCUGGAUAUGCUGACCCCUGUGAUUUCCCCAAAUGUGGGAAAAACAACUGCAUAAUUUGUGGUAGUACGGGACCGUGUUCAUGCUCUCCUGAA